AGGGGUAUAGCUUAUUGGUAGAGUGCUCAGGGUCCUGGAUUCAAUUCCCAGUACCUCCA
rnacentral:tRNA from 1 species